AGGAUUAACGCUGGCGGCGUGCCUAACACAUGCAAGUCGAACGAGGUAGCAAUACCUAGUGGCAGACGGGUGAGUAACGCGUGGUCAACCUACCGUUGAGUGGGGGAUAACUAGCCGAAAGGUUAGCUAAUACCGCAUACGUCUCCGAGGGGCAUCCCUUGGCGAUAAAAGGAGCAAUCCGCUCGAUGACGGGACCGCGUCCCAUUAGCUAGAUGGUGGGGUAACGGCCUACCAUGGCACCGAUGGGUAGCUGGUUUGAGAGAGCGACCAGCCACACUGGGACUGAGAAACGGCCCAGACUCCUACGGGAGGCAGCAGUGAGGAAUUUUCCGCAAUGGGCGCAAGCCUGACGGAGCGACGCCGCGUGUGGGAAGAAGGCCUUCGGGUCGUAAACCACUGUCGAAGGGGAAGAUAUUGACGGUACCCUUGGAGGAAGCCCCGGCUAACUACGUGCCAGCAGCCGC
rnacentral:rRNA from 1 species